AGCCCAUGGAAAGGGAAAAGUCUUAGAAAAUACUUAUAACGCUCCCACGCAUCAAACAAGUACUUUCCUUAUUCUUGCCUAAAGUUAUUGAUCUCAUUCCUAACUUGGUU